UUAUGUGCAUUCCUAGAUCAUAUAAUUAAUGCACUGGAUCCCAUUAGAAUUCCACAGUUAAGUGCUCUCAGGCUAGAGUAGUACCAGGAUGGACAAGUCCUAGUGUUUUACAUGGC
rnacentral:rRNA from 1 species